UCUCAUUGAUGAUCAACCACAGAUGACGAGUCCGAUAUCCAUUCAUAAAAUCGUGACGACAAUCGAGGCAUUUGUCUGAGAGGA